rnacentral:piRNA from 1 species
UCCCACCCACAGCUGUUGCAGUCUACACA